rnacentral:sRNA from 1 species
GUUUAGCUAGGUACCAGAUAUCAGUGGUUUGUGGUGAGGAUAAGGCUGCUUUACUGCAGUGGUUAAAGAGAAACGUUGCUUGAGGAUCGAUAUGCUGGAGAAAAGUCUUAAGUGUUUGAACAGGACAAUUCGAAUCACCAGUCGCAUACAUUCUUUUGUCGUGGGGUGCUUCCUGGUUUUCUAGCCCUCCUUGCCAGUUCUUUUGCUUAGUUUCGUGGGAGAGGGACACAUAUUCAACUCCCUUGUCAUCUUUAAGGAAGAGAAAGGACUUGGGAGUCAACUGUUGGUGAAAUUCUAAACCCCUUGAUACGAAAUGAAGGGAUAAAUUGAACCAGACACGAUAGCGGAGAAUAACAGGGCAGGAGAUAGAUGACAAGUAUUGUGAUAUUUUGUGAAGAUCAUCGGGGGACACUACUGCCUUGUGCUGAGUAGGUUUGGAAAGUCCGAGGGCCAUGUUCUGCUUAAGUUUUCCUGCAAGAGCCCCGUUGGCUUGUUUAAAAGCUUUGUCAUGGACUAUAUCCAUGUCCCUUCCUAUGUCACUGAGAUGACGAUUGAUGGCAGACCUGAUACCUUUUAAUGUGUUUUUGUGAUAUUCGUUUGACAUUUUAUUUUCCUUUUCGCCAUUGAAAUCAGGUUUCGGUUGUACUUCUGUGUAAAACCAUCUCAAGUGAUUAUUUAGCUCUUCUUUUGAAAUUGACUGCAGAUCAAGUUGAAAUCCAAAUUUCUCAAUGCUCCAAUCUGAAAUUUUUUUUUCUAUGUUAGUGUUUUGAUUACAUUAUUUUUUUAUUUUAUGUUUCAAGUUUUGUGGAUUUUUAGUAAAUUUUUGAAAAGUUUAAUUUUCAUGUUAACUUUGCUUUUUGACAGAUUUUGCUGUUUGACAUUCUCUUUUUUCUUAUUUUUAUUAAGUUAUAACAUUACACAUGUUUAUUGUUAAUAUAUUUAUUUCACCUGCAUUUAGGUGUUGUUUUUUAAUUAUUGCUUUUUUUCCAUUUAGGUAUUAUGAAGUUUUCAAAUAUUUUUAUUUGGGUUAUAAACAAGUGACAGAUAAUUUUCCCUUUGUUAUUGUAUGUUAUUACAAGUUUUAGACCCACCUUGCAAAAUUUUCAUUCCCCAUUUUGUUUUGGCUUUUGUUGUUGAAGAUUGCUUUUUUGAUUCAAUUUCACACAGCUCCUCAACAGUUAAUGAUUUAAAUCUUUGUUUUGGUUUCUCAGCAAUGGCUGGUAGCGGUGGCCUUUGAUCUUCAAAAGCUUUGGUCAUUUCAGUAAUAGCCUGAUUGGUGCUUGUAGAUACAGCUACUUCAUUCAGUGUGAAUUCUUGAUCGUCAUUAUCGAGCAAAAAUGCCAACAUAUCUUCGUCCAAAUCGUCCUCAUUGUAGCCCAGUUUAAUUCGUUCCGUUAUAUUUCCAAGAUCAAAGGUCGCCGGUUGAUCAGCCAUGUUUAUGAUCGAACUUGUAUGAUACGCAGACGAUAACGUGAGAUUAAAUGGGAUUUUUUUAAAUUUGCGUCAUCAUUAUGUGUUUUAAUAUUUAAUGUUUUAAAUUGUUUGUUUGUGAAUGCGUAUUUUAUUGUUUACAAUAAAAAGAAAUUCAUCAU